AGUGAACGCUGGCGGUAGGCCUAACACAUGCAAGUCGAACGGCAGCACAGAGGCGCUUGCUCCUUGGGUGGCGAGUGGCGGACGGGUGAGGAAUACAUCGGAAUCUACUCUGUCGUGGGGGCUAACGUAGGGAAACUUACGCUACUACCGCAUACGACCUACGGGUGAAAGCAGGGGAUCUUCGGACCUUCCGCGAGUGCAUGAGCCGAUGUCGGAUUAGCUAGUUGGUGGGGUAAAGGCUCACCAAGGCGACGAUCCGUAGCUGGUCGUGAGAGGAUGAUCAGCCACACUGGAACUGAGACACGGUCCAGACUCCUACGGGAGGCAGCAGUGGGGAAUAUUGGACAAUGGGCGCAAGCCUGAUCCAGCAAUACCGCGUGGGUGAAGAAGGCCUUCGGGUUGUAAAGCCCUUUUGUUGGGAAAGAAAUCCAUCUGGUUAAUACCCGUGUGGGAUGACGGUACCCAAAGAAUAAGCACCGGCUAACUUCGUGCCAGCAGCCGCCGUAA
rnacentral:rRNA from 1 species